rnacentral:rRNA from 1 species
GGUUGAUCCUGCCAGUAGUCAUAUGCUUGUCUCAAAGAUUAAGCCAUGCAUGUCUAAGUAUAAGCACUUGUACUGUGAAACUGCGAAUGGCUCAUUACAUCAGUUAUAGUUUAUUUGAUAGUACCUUACUACUUGGAUAACCGUGGUAAUUCUAGAGCUAAUACAUGCGUCAAGUCCCGACUUCUGGAAGGGAUGUAUUUAUUAGAUCCAAAACCAACCGGGGCAACCCGUCCUUGGUGAUUCAUGAUAACUUGUCGAAUCGCAUGGCUUUUACGCCGGCGAUGGUUCAUUCA